GGUAAAGGCUUACCAAGGCGUAGAUCAGAAGAUGGUCUGAGAGGACGACCAGCCACACUGGGACUGAGACACGGCCCAGACUCCUACGGGAGGCAGCAGUGGGGAAUUUUGGACAAUGGGGGAAACCCUGAUCCAGCCAUGCCGCGUGAGUGAAGAAGGCCUUCGGGUUUUAAAGCUCUUUCACCCGGAACGAAACGGUCACGGCUUAUACCUGUGACCCCCCCCGUACCGGAAGAAGAAGCACCGGCUAACUACUGCCAGCAGCCUCUGUA
rnacentral:rRNA from 1 species